GGCGCAGCUUACACAUGCAGUCGAGCGGUAACAGGGGGUGCUUGCACCCCGCUGACGAGCGGCGGACGGGUGAGUAAUGCAUAGGAAUCUGCCCAGUAGUGGGGGAUAGCCCGGGGAAACCCGGAUUAAUACCGCAUACGCCCUUUGGGGGAAAGCAGGGGAUCUUCGGACCUUGCGCUAUUGGAUGAGCCUAUGUCGGAUUAGCUAGUUGGUGGGGUAAAGGCCUACCAAGGCGACGAUCCGUAGCUGGUCUGAGAGGAUGAUCAGCCACAUCGGGACUGAGACACGGCCCGAACUCCUACGGGAGGCAGCAGUGGGGAAUAUUGGACAAUGGGGGCAACCCUGAUCCAGCCAUGCCGCGUGUGUGAAGAAGGCUUUCGGGUUGUAAAGCACUUUCAGUGAGGAGGAAAACCUUCUGGUUAAUACCCAUGAGGCUUGACGUUACUCACAGAAGAAGCACCGGCUAACUCCGUGCCAGCAGCCGCGGUAAUACGGAGGGUGCAAGCGUUAAUCGGAAUUACUGGGCGUAAAGCGCGCGUAGGUGGUUUGAUAAGCGAGAUGUGAAAGCCCCGGGCUUAACCUGGGAACGGCAUUUCGAAC
rnacentral:rRNA from 1 species